GAUCAUGGCUCAGGAUGAACGCUGACAGAAUGCUUAACACAUGCAAGUCUACUUGAACUUCGGUUUGGGUGGCGGACGGGUGAGUAACGCGUAAAGAACUUGCCUCACAGUUAGGGACAACAUUUGGAAACGAAUGCUAAUACCUGAUAUUAUGAUUUUAGGGUCAUCCUAAGAUUAUGAAAGCUAUAUGCGCUGUGAGAGAGCUUUGCGUCCCACUUAGCUAGUUGGAGAGGG
rnacentral:rRNA from 1 species